UACGGAGGAUCCAAGCGUUAUCCGGAAUCAUUGGGUUUAAAGGGUCCGUAGGCGGUUUAGUAAGUCAGUGGUGAAGGCCCAUCGCUCAACGGUGGAACGGCCAUUGAUACUGCUAGACUUGAAUUAUUAGGAAGUAACUAGAAUAUGUAGUGUAGCGGUGAAAUGCUUAGAGAUUACAUGGAAUACCAAUUGCGAAGGCAGGUUACUACUAAUGGAUUGACGCUGAUGGACGAAAGCGUGGGUAGCGAACAGG
rnacentral:rRNA from 1 species